UGAGCACUUCUCCCUGUCUGGGGUGGCGAUUCCCUGGUGACAAAGAAGAGCCUGUUGUCUCAGCUCCGCACAGCCGUGAUGGUCCUGAGCUCCGUUCCCAGCCUUGCGCUGACUCACUCGCUGACCUUGCUGAGAAAGUCUGUGGGCUGCACCAUCGUCUCCUAAGCUGGUGGCCAUCAGAACGGGAUUGUGCAGCAUUGCUGGAUGGUCUGCCUACUGAGGGGGACAUCUAGGGCCGUCCUGGCCUCUGCCCACUGGCUUCCAGGGAACACCAGAUUGCUCCAGAUGCUGCUCCACAGUUAUUGCAAUCACUGGCAGGCUUUUCUCCCUCUACUCCAGUGAUUUCAACCAGACAGUUCUAAUUGCUAAGCAUACUUUGGGGAUGUGAGCAGAAAUCUUUAGUUUUAAGGGAACGUCUGAAGAAUACCUCAGAUGUGAAUCAUGUGUCUCAUCCUCAGCCUUACUGGGGACUACAGGAUGUGCAUGAAUCAAAGGCAGCCUGACCAGAUCGUGGAGAGAGGCACACCCAGCGACAGUCCUGCAGCUCUCCUUGGGAUUAAGGCAGCUACUGUUGGAAAAGCUUCUUGUCUGUGUGAGGGACAAGCUGGGACUGGGGAUGGGCUAUGUACCCUGUUUACUAGCUGAAGGACCCAAAUGUAGCCAGCUUCACGCCUGUUCUGAAAGUCUGUGUAUGCCUCCAAGGUACCUUAUGUUCCCGUCAAGUAUGUAGCUGAACUCCUACACUUUUUUCAUCCCAGAACAAUGCAGCAAAGUGCAGGGCCCUCCCGCAAUGCCCUGCCUGUUUCCACCACCUCCUUAGGGUGCUUGGAUUUACAGGACAUGGAAAGCUAUCUAUUCAAAUAGGGUUCUAGAUCCUCUUGGGAAAAUGAGAUAGAACUGCUUCAUAUGGCACGCUGAAAUGAAAAUCCCUGGCCCUGCCAACUCACAGUCCUUUAAAGGUAGUCAUUAGACUUCUCCUCACCUACCAUAGACUACAAACACCGGAAAAUGUGGCAAGCUGACAAGAAAGGCUGUCUUAUCACUGAAGAGUCUCUAUCUAAGAUGUAGGGCAGAACUAGCAAGCUGAAAUCUAGGUUUAUGGGGUAAACUUGCCUUGAUACUGCACUAUUGUUGAGGGAAGGAAACAGGCACCUGCCAAAGAAGGUCUGUAAAACAGAUGCAUCACAUACAUUACGUAAGUCGUGCUUUUUAAGAGGCUCUCUGCAGUCACUGAAGCAGGCCAGCCCAG
ensembl:lncRNA